rnacentral:rRNA from 1 species
UACGUAGGGGGCUAGCGUUGUCCGGAAUCAUUGGGCGUAAAGAGCGUGUAGGCGGUCCGGUAAGUCCGCUGUGAAAGUCGGGGGGCUCAACCCUCGAAUGCCGGUGGAUACUGUCGGGCUAGAGUGCGGAAGAGGCGAGUGGGAAUUCCUGGUGCUAGCGGUGAAAUGCGCAGAUAUCCAGGAGGAACACCGGUGGCGAAGGCGGAUCUCUGGGCCUGUCCUGACGGCUGAGGCGCGAAAGCCAGGGGAGCGAACGGG